UUUAAAUGUAAAAGGUGAACUAAAAUUACACUUAAUUGUUAUUUAUGUUUUUUGUCACUUCUCUGUUUAUUGAAUUAAUUGUUCAUUUCCAAAUUAACUGACCAGCAUCUUAGAUCUGUUGUUUGCUACAGACACCAUUCAUUAGAGGAUCUUCAAGAUUUUGAUAAAUAAUUAUGCAAAUUAAAUGGCUAUUAAAUUAGCAAAAAAAGUAUCAACAAGAAUCAAGAAAUUGAAAGGAGAAGCUGGUAAACAAAGUGUUGGUACUAAUAGCUUUGUUGUUUGUCAUUGUUAUUUGUUUAGUGAAAAAAGUGAAUCCCUAAUAUACAUUAUUUCCUCAUUGUGGAUAUUUCUUUUGAUUUGUUUUGUUUCUAUUGUUGAAAUCAUUUAAAUCACUUGGCAAGUUGAGAGGCUCUCAUACAAUCAACACAUCCAUUGAUACCAUUUUCAACUCAUCUUGUGCUGUUUUAUAUAAAACUGUAACUCAUAUGGCCUGUUGACUAACUGUGUAAAUCAAAUUGUAUAUCAAAUUUUGUAUCACUUUUUGUGCUUUACUAUUACUUUUAUUCCUACCUUUUACUUGCUCCUAUGAGAAUGGUUCAGUUAUUUUAGUUACAUUGGGAUUGGAAAGCAAGAAAAGACGAUGAAAAUUGUUGUUAACAUGGUUGAUGUAACAGAAAAAGUAAAUAAGACGAAAUCAAAUAAACUGUAUAUUUUUUUGUAUUUUACUCUCAUUCAUUUUAUCAUUAUUGUUACAUCAAGUUAUAAACAAUUUUCAAUUCAAAUUCCCAUUCAACUGUAGAAACUUGAUAUAAUCAUAAUUCAAUUUUCAAUGAUUGUGAUUUACUUUUUUGCCUUCAUUGUACUUUGUAUGCUAAUAACCAUCAAAAUGUAUGUGAUGUGUUAAGAGCCAAAUAACGAAUGGCAACAAUCAAAUAAAAUAAUGAAUUUUAAUAUAAUCUUGAUAACAAUUGUACAAAAUUAAAUUGUAAAUGUUCUUGUACUGUAAUGUAAAAUCAAUUUUCAUGUCGAUUGUAUAUAAACUGUUUCAAUAAACUUCAUUCAAGACUCAA